UAGGGAAUCUUCGGCAAUGGGGGGAACCCUGACCGAGCAACGCCGCGUGAGUGAAGAAGGCUUUCGGAUCGUAAAGCUCUGUUGUUAAGGAAGAACGAGUGUGAGAAUGGAAAGUUCAUACUGUGACGGUACUUAACCAGAAAGGGACGGCUAACUACGUGCCAGCAGCCGCGGUAAUACGUAGGUCCCGAGCGUUGUCCGGAUUUAUUGGGCGUAAAGCGAGCGCAGGCGGUUAGAUAAGUCUGAAGUUAAAGGCAGUGGCUCAACCAUUGUAGGCUUUGGAAACUGUUUAGCUUGAGUGCAGAAGGGGAGAGUGGAAUUCCAUGUGUAGCGGUGAAAUGCGUAGAUAUAUGGAGGAACACCGGUGGCGAAAGCGGCUCUCUGGUCUGUAACUGACGCUGAGGCUCGAAAGCGUGGGGAGCGAACAGG
rnacentral:rRNA from 1 species